UACGAAGGGGGGCUAGCGUUGUUCGGAAUCACUGGGCGUAAAGCGCACGCAGGCGGAUUGAUAAGUCAGGGGUGAAAUCCCGGAGCUCAACUUCGGAAUUGCCUUUGAUACUGUCUGUCUUGGGUCCGGGAGAGGUGAGUGGAAUUCCUAGUGUAGAGGUGAAAUUCGUAGAUAUUAGGAAGAACACCAGUGGCGAAGGCGGCUCACUGGCCCGGUACUGACGCUCAUGUGCGAAAGCGUGGGGAGCAAACAGG
rnacentral:rRNA from 1 species